rnacentral:rRNA from 1 species
GACGAACGCUGGCGGCGUGCUUAACACAUGCAAGUCGAACGGAAAGGCCCUGCUUUUGUGGGGUGCUCGAGUGGCGAACGGGUGAGUAACACGUGAGUAACCUGCCCUUGACUUUGGGAUAACUUCAGGAAACUGGGGCUAAUACCGGAUAGGAGCUCCUGCUGCAUGGUGGGGGUUGGAAAGUUUCGGCGGUUGGGGAUGGACUCGCGGCUUAUCAGCUUGUUGGUGGGGUAGUGGCUUACCAAGGCUUUGACGGGUAGCCGGCCUGAGAGGGUGACCGGCCACAUGGGGACUGGGAUACGGCCCAGACUCCUACGGGAGGCAGCAGUGGGGAAUAUUGCAAAAUGGGCGGAAGCCUGAUGCAGCAACGCCGCGGGCGGGAGGACGGCCUUCGGGUGUUAAACCGCUUUCGCCUGUGACGAAGGGUGAGUGACGGUAAUGGGUAAAGAAGCACAGGCUAACUACGUG